rnacentral:lncRNA from 1 species
CUAAAUACUGUCCACAGAGUUACCGCCAAGUUCGACUGAACGAGCUGUUACAGGAGCAUUCCAGAGCCGCCAACCUCAUCGUAUUGAGCCUUCCAGUGGCGAGAAAAGGAUCUAUUUCGGAUUUGUUGUACAUGGCGUGGUUAGAAAUCCUGACCAAGAACCUCCCUCCUGUGCUACUGGUUAGAGGAAAUCACAAGAAUGUCCUGACAUUUUACUCUUAAAGCGCGAGGGAUGAGAAAUGUUGUACCUUGGUGUCCGAAUAAUUACAAAACGUGUCUGGUACUUUGUGUUUUAAAACCUCAUCUAUGAAUAUACAAACCUCUGGAGACUAUCCCACCUGAUUCUACAUAAAUUUCAUCUUUUUUAAAAAAGUUAUUAUUAAUGAGAGUUUUUUCCCACCAGUUUUAAAAACAUCGAAAACAUUUUUCCCUUGUCGCUGGUGAAUAAGAAAUUAAUAAGAGCUGGCUGACAUGCUUGCAGGAUGUGCUAAUGUAGAUGAGCUCCAGGCAAACGCAAUCUCUUGUUUCCGUGGAUUCUUCUGCAUGGCCCCGUGCAGGCCACAGGCCCAUAGCGGGCUCUCUUUAAGUUGUUAUUGACAGACUGGUGUGGUGAAAGCAGGCGGCUAUCAUAGGGAAAGACACACUGGGUCAGUGGCCUGAUUCUGCUUGGCCUCCUGAGAAGUUUGUGGAGAUUUAAAAAUCAAUAUCCGGAAACUGUAAGAAGGACUAGAGUCUACAAAGUGUUCAAAGCAGUUACCUAAAUUAAGGUUUAUUUAAUGCAGCCGAUAAUAAGCUUAACCUCUGAUCACACGUAGCUUGCAUUCGCUGCUAGCCAGAGGUACACUAGGUAGGUGAGCAAAGACACAUGUUCCACUUAGACGAAAUAGAGUCCCAACAUACAAAUAUCAAUUGUCUUCCUGGUUAAAUGUUUUGAAAUUUCUACCUUAAUACUACUUUAUCUUUUUUCUCUGAUUAAGUGGUUUGCAUAGACGAAAUAAAAAUAGACGAUCUCAUUGAAAAAUAAUCUCACAGGUUUCCAAUCCACUACUAAAAAUAUAUCCAGAUCCUACAUUUAUUUACUUUCUCUAUAUACAGGUAUAUGGGUUUUAUAGAAUAACAAGGAUAUAAGUGGAGAAACUUGUAAAAUUUUAAAACACAGGUGUUGAUUUUUCUUCUUGUUCGUGUGUGUAUAAUAUUUAAUCACAGAAAAAAUGCUUAUAUGAUAAAUGGCUUGGUUUUGGUUUUGUUGGCAUAUUUUGACUGUUCUGGGGAAGCUUGUGGGGGGCAAAUCAACCUGAAAUAAAAUUCUACU